CAUACAGGCAUGCCAAGUGCAGUACUGCAAACUACUCUCACUGCAAUUUGGCAUAUCGAAUUCCACCAGGCUCAAUGUUGAUUCAGCCUGCCUUACGAGGUGAGUAAAAUGAGGACCCAAAUUAUUGGGAGCAAUAUGCUGACUCUGUAAACCCCUUUGAGAGGGCUGUAAAGCACUAUAAAGCGGUAUAUAAAUCUAAGUGCUAUUGCUAUAUUUAAAAAAAAUCAGAUACUGGAUUGGCAUAUGCCCUAUAAGCCAGUCACAAUGUGAUAAUUUGAUGUGGAAUCCCGUAUUCACAGAGGGGAAGAGACUAUGCUCCAUUUAUAGAGUCCUGGCUGAUGCUGUGAGAUGUGAUUAUUAUUCAGGAAUGCCCACUACUGACCUUGUACUGUUUAUGUCAUCCUUUGCG